GUGCUCACUUUGGCAGCACAAUUACUAAAAUUGGAAUGAUACAGAGAAAAUUAGCAUGGCCCCUGCACAAGGAUAAAGUAACUUUUCUUCUCUCUCUCUCUCUCUCU